UACAGAGGUCUCAAGCGUUGUUCGGAUUCAUUGGGCGUAAAGGGUGUGUAGGUGGCGCCGUAAGUCGGGUGUGAAAUUUCGGAGCUUAACUCCGAAACUGCAUUCGAUACUGCGGUGCUUGAGGACUGGAGAGGAGACUGGAAUUUACGGUGUAGCAGUGAAAUGCGUAGAUAUCGUAAGGAAGACCAGUGGCGAAGGCGGGUCUCUGGACAGUUCCUGACACUGAGACACGAAGGCCAGGGAGGCAAACGGG
rnacentral:rRNA from 1 species